rnacentral:rRNA from 1 species
GACGAAGGGGGCUAGCGUUGUUCGGAAUUACUGGGCGUAAAGCGCGUGUAGGCGGUUGUUCAAGUCAGGUGUGAAAGCCUUGAGCUCAACUCAAGAAAUGCACUUGAUACUGGAUGACUAGAGGACCGGAGAGGAUAGUGGAAUUCCCAGUGUAGUGGUGAAAUACGUAGAGAUUGGGAAGAACACCAGUGGCGAAGGCGGCUAUC